AGAACGUUCCUAACGAAAAUAACUGCAACUCUUGAUUGUACCUCCUGAGGGUCGUUGGGACUUUCCCUCUCAGACAUUUAUUGGUUCAUUCAUUCGUUCAUUUUGCUGUAACUCACAGUGGCCCUCCCCAUCCUAAGGUGCACUGCUGGGAUUGGUCUAUGUGCUGAUGAUGUUCUCCUUGUCUUCAGAGGAAAAAGAAUGCCUGUGUUUCGAAGUUCCUUCUUAGGACGAAACCAGCUGAAGCUGGCGAAAUCCAAGAUGGCGCCUCUGAAGAGCCUCUGGCUUUAUCAUCAUCCUGUUCUCAUGCUAAACAACAUGUCGCCAUGACAACGACUGGAAGAGACCAAGAAGGGACAGAAAAAAAGGGGUUUCUUGAUUCCGGGAAAAAUCUCCGUUCUUUCCCAAGGAAAGCACGAAUAUUCCCCCCCGUGCUCUUAAUGCCCAGCCCCUUCAUUAAAGACACCCUACCUCUGAAACUUCCCAGCUCUCACAAGCUAAGUUGAUUUCAGAUCUUCCAAUUCCAUAGCCAUUGAAUACAGCCUGCACUGCUUGACACACUCCCUUUCGGUUUCGUGCAUUGGCCUCACCACGCAACAGGAAACAACCCUUUUUGGGAUAACCGGGACUCCCGGUAACAUUUCCAUAUAUACAUAUCUUAAUGUAUGCAAGGGCGUCUGGGGGAGAAAGAAGCAGCACAUUUCAUUCUUUGCUUUCUAUAAUACUGGAUUGCUUGAGUUUGUGACACAUGUUAACAUUUGCAACAUUUUUAAACUAAAUUGUAUGUAUUAUAGAACAGUCCUCUGCGCUGAGCUUGGACUUAAAGUGGAAAGGCUUACAUUUGCAGAAUUAAAAAAAGCAUCGAAACAU
ensembl:lncRNA NQO2-AS1 NQO2 antisense RNA 1